GGGUCAGUAGGUUGGUCGUGCCACCGGUACGUACUGGUCUCACUGAUUCCUCCUUCCUGAAGAACCGUAAUGCCAUUAAUUUGGUGUUGCGGGGAAACCGGACUGUUACUUUGAAAAAAUUAGAGUGUUUAAAGCAAGCUAACGCUUGAAUACAUUAGCAUGGAAUAAUGAAAUAGGACGAUCGAUCCUAUUUUGUUGGUUUCUAGGAUUGACGUA
rnacentral:rRNA from 1 species